rnacentral:rRNA from 1 species
UACACGCUGUGACUAGCAUAUCAAUAAGCGGAGGAAAAGAAACUAACAAGGAUUCCCCUAGUAACGGCGAGUGAAGCGGGAAGAGCUCAAAUUUGAAAUCUUAAAGGGUUUCCCUUUACGAAUUGUAGUUUAAAGAAGUGUUUUCUGUUGAGGUUUUGGUAAAAGUUCUUUGGAAUAGGACAUCAUAGAGGGUGAGAAUCCCGUAUUUGACCUUUACUUUCAACUUUGUGAUACACUUUCAAAGAGUCGGAUUGUUUGGGAAUGCAGUCCAAAAUGGGUGGUAAAUUUCAUCUAAAGCUAAAUAUUGGCGAGAGACCGAUAGCGAACAAGUACCGUGAGGGAAAGAUGAAAAGAACUUUGAAAAGAGAGUUAAACAGUACGUGAAAUUGUCAAAAGGGAAGCGUUUGACACCAGUGUUGUUUUUCUGAAGAUCAAUUAAAGAACUGUUUAUGCUAAGCUGUUUAGACUUUAUCAGCUAUCUGUUUAGUUUUGAGCUUUUCUUUAAUGCACUUUUCAGUUAACAAGUCAACAUCAAUUUCUUUUGCUGUAAAAAAGCUUGAGGAAGGUGGCUUGAGAUUCGUCUUAAGUGUUUAUAGCCUCUUGCCUAUGCAGUCGGAGAGAUUGAGGUCUGCAGCGUAGAUCCUUCGGGGCUAAAUGCAUUUGUGCUAAGUUAUAGCAUUUUAUAGACAACUUGUUGACUAUGAUUUGUCUUGUAGCUUACUCGCUUAUGUUAUUUUACCUACGCUUAGGAUGUUGAAGAUGUAGCACAUCAU